rnacentral:rRNA from 1 species
UACGAAGGGGGCUAGCGUUGCUCGGAAUUACUGGGCGUAAAGCGCACGUAGGCGGAUCCUUAAGUCGGUGGUGAAAUCCUGAGGCUCAACUUCAGAACUGCCUUCGAUACUGGGGACCUUGAGUUCGGGAGAGGUGAGUGGAACUGCGAGUGUAGAGGUGAAAUUCGUAGAUAUUCGCAAGAACACCAGUGGCGAAGGCGGCUCACUGGCCCGAUACUGACGCUGAGGUGCGAAAGCGUGGGGAGCAAACAGG